ACUUACCUUCUCUGAUUUAGGCAUCCUCGUUCGUUCAGAGAACACGGACUACAGUGAUUCAGUCCAACAACACGUGGAUACCAAUACACAUAGACUCUCGCCCCUAAUCUGCAUGCAAAGCUUGUAAACAAAACAUGUUGACCAAACUUAACAGCUGCUCUCUGUUCCUGGAGCAUGCAAAAGAAUGUGAAAAAAGAAAAAUGGACUACCCUAAUUUAUUUUUGGGUCCUGACUCUUUGACUUUCCCCUGAACGAAUUAGGAGACUGCGUCACAUAGCACCAUAUGAACUACUCGCUGCUGGCGGAAUACACUGUGGCUAUAAUAUUCAAAUUGCUGGUCUAAUUCUGUACUGAUGUCCCCUCCUUCUCCUCUCCUCUCGGUCCAGUCCAAUGAUAGUUCUCUUUUAUAGAUGAUGCCGUUUACUUAAAUGUGAUAUUUGUGUUUCCUUGAUGUGCAUUGAACAUCCAACAGCAAAGUCAACAAACUAUUGUUUAACUCGAAGGGACUCGUAUCUAGUUGUUUCAUAUGCUCCAAUCAUAAGAGAAAUUAGAAUUGAGUAGAGCUGAUUCUUUUGGAUCAUUGGUCUUUUUGAAACUAAUCAACCUUGAGGGUUGUGGCUGGACAUGAUCCAACAAUAGUGGAUAUAUGGAGAAUACAGUAUAAACUGUAGCUACAUUAAGUGGUAUUUUUUAUACUAUUUCUCAAUCACUGCGUUUACACAGGGAGCCCAAUUCUGAUCUUUUCACUUCAGAUAUUUUUCAGAGCUGAUCUGAUUGGUCAAACAUUUUUGAAAAUGUAAGAUUUUGAUAUAUUCCCAUUUUUAGGAUGUACUUACAGUAGUAAAACCCAGUGUGCAUUGAACAUGUACAAAUUCUGAAUAGCUUGCAUUACAUUACAAUACAAUACAAAAGGCCAUAAUAAGGCUAUCCACCCCUCCUUUCUUCUGCACACUUCUGGAGAUCAGUUACUGUUUCCAUAUUGACUCUGUAGGGUGGAGAGGCAUCAUCACCAUAUCAAUGGAAGCUUUACAUCUACCAUAGCCUCUGAUCUUUGGCUCGAUGAGAAGGCUGCUGAGAAACAUCCAGUUCCCUGGCGUUCAGUGGGAGUCAAGACGCCUUGGCUUUGAGUAGACAGGACAACGACCCUAAGCACACAGCCAAGACCAUGCAGGAGUGGCUUCGGGACAAGUCUCUGAAUGUCCUUGAGUGGCCCAGCCAGAGCCCGGACUUGAACCCGAUCUAACAUCUCUGUAGAGACCUGAAAAUAACUGUGUAGCAACACUCCCCAUCCAACCUGACAGAGCAUAAGAUAAUCUGCAGAGAAGAAUGGGAGAAACUCCCCAAAUACAGGUAUGCCAAGCUUAUAAGCAUCAUACCCAAAAAGAUUUGAGGUUGUAAUCUCUGCCAAUGUUCUUCAACAAAGUACUGAGUAAAGGGUCUGAAUACUUAAGUAAAUGUGAUUUCAUUUUUUUUAUACAUUUGAAAAAAAAUGUGUUAAAACCUGUUUUUGCUUUGUCAUUAUGGGUUAUUGUGUGUAGAUUGAUGAGAGAAAAAAACCAUUUCAUCCAUUUUAGAAUAAGGCUGUAACGUAACAAAAUGUGGAAAAAGUCAAGGGGUCUGAAUACUUUCUGAAUGCACUGUAUCUUCUGCUUGUAUAAUUCCAUCUGUGCCACUGACAGUCUGUCUUUAAUUCCAGUUUGUCUACAAAUUAAUAAUUUAUAUGUUGGAUUCACAUCUCCAUCUCAACCAAGAAUCAAAGUUAAAGAAUAGUACUAAAUCAAAUCAAACUUUAAAUGCACUGUAAAUAAAGUUUGAGAUGAUUUAGUCCAAUUCUUUAACUUCAAUUUUUGGAGAUGUGAAUCCAACAUUUAAAUUAUGAAUUUGUGAGACAAACUGGAAUUAAAACUACACAAAGUCAGUGGCAAAGAUGGAAUUAUCCAAGCAGAAGAAACAUCUCUUUCAAAUGUUGAUAUUUGGUUGCGUUGACAACCAAACACAAUUUUAUGUCACUAAAUUUCAUGACAUUUAAAGGCCUAUUGUAUUGUCUAUUUUGAGUUGGAUUCUGGGUUGAAUUGAAACAGCUGUUGAUGACUUUGAAAAUGUUAUAGAAGCCUCAAUAGCAUCAUUGAUUUUAUAUGAGUGGUUAAGUAUGGUCACAUUUCAUUUGUCUCUGUUAAACCUACCUUUUAGGAAUGACUUUGAUAGCAACAGUGAAUCUAUUUAGUUUUUAAGGGGAGAUCUCGCAAUAUUCAUUCUCACAAUAGCAUUUUGGUAAUAGUCAGUGACUAAUAUCAUAGCUAAGCAGGGUUUGGUUAAAACCCUGGAUGGGAGAAGAUCUGACGUUGUUUUAAAGGUGCAAAUUCAACAUAUUUUAUGUUUUGUCUAUGUUGGAAUUUGGUUACCAUGAUAUUAUCCGGUUGUGAAAAUACACCAAAACAACCGUUUACAUUGAUGACCUUUUUUCAAAUCCAAUGUAUUUUCCACAUCACAAGUGCUCACAAGAGUGAGGGUGGAUGAAUAUUUCACAUAUAGUGAAUCGAUCUUUGUCUUUAUCAAUGGUGCCUCUGAUCGUUGAAUGGCCUGUAAUGGUGCAUCAUCCCACCUUCAGACAACAAACCUGUGACAGCUCUCCAAACUGUGACUAAAAUACACUGUCUGGCUCCAUGCACGUGUUGAAAACAUAUUCAUAUCUCUCUGUGAAUAACAAAUGCCUUAAGGUCUCUCCAUUUUUUUUUACUGGCAAAUGUAAUUUAGUUUGUUUAAAGGAAAGCAUCUUUGUGUCCUUUAAUAAAAAUGUAAAAAAAGGAAUGAAUGGUGAUAUUUGACAGGGAGGUUUGUUUGUUGCUGUUGUUCCGCUGACACAAUGUUCUUCCUGUUAAUUGUCUGGGUCCUAUUUACCUGGGUGGUAAUGAUAGGAGCUUCCCUCAGGCACCUUGCAUCCAAAACCUACUCUCUAGAGAGAAACAGGAGGGAUUAAUGCCAGCCUGCCUUCUCUCCAGAGUUGCUAGAAACAUGAUAAUUGCAAUGGGGAAAUGCACUUUUUUAGCACUUAAAAAAAUGCUACAGUCCAUCUGCCUUUCAACCUUUAUCUUUUGGUAGAAUACAAGCUUAAAGUCAUAUCCAUUCCCUAAUACACCAUUCCAAGAUGGUAAAACAUUUUCAUUACGUUUUUGGAUGUCGUGCAAAGUUUUUGACCUUACAAUUUCACUCAGCGAUGUGAAUGUGUACGUUCACUAACCUCCGACUGGCAAGUCACACAGCGAGAGCAAGCAGGCUACGUCAUCUCUUUUUCCAUAAAAGUGUAGCCACAAGAAACAUUGCAUUUGUCUGACUUCCUAACCGUGCUCCCACCUGUGUGUAAUGGCUGAACCAACUCUAAUGUAACCUCGCCAAACACGAUGUUGCUAAGAUGCCUACAAGGACUCUGUGUUUCUGUCCCUCACCAGCACACCAAUAGACCAUGAAACCAAAACAUAAUAGCUUUUGCUACCAGAGAUAGAAAUUCAAAACAAUGAUUCCCAUGUGUUUAUUUAUUUUAAGCCUAACAUGUGUCUGUGAAUCACUUGGCAGGUUAACAAGACAUUUAAAGUAGCACCUUGUUUACUAGAGUUGCUCGUUGUUACUGGAAAAAAAAUAUACAACCUGUCAAGUUACCCAAAGACAGUGCCUGAAGUGAAAUUCACUACCAUAAUUGGAUUUCUCAUCUUUAUCUGGCAGCAUAAUUGGUGCCAACUAUUUGAGAUUGACAAUUAAGCAGUAGGAACUUUAACUUUGAGCUGAGAACACCCUCUCAUUAACGACUACCUUUCAGCUGAAAGCUGGUUUAGAGCUGGUUGGGUGGCAGAGAUGUCUGCAGGGGCAGUUUAAGGAUGCAAUUAGCCAGUAACUUUCGAGGUUUCCUAAACACAAAAAGGAGUACUUGUUGUCAUCUCAAAUCAUAAUUAGAUGAACCACAGAUGGGCUGUCAAUGUCCAGAGUGCCUGGGGAAAUGAACAAUGCUGUCAUUAUGGUGGCCACGGAGUCAAAGUGCUGGGUAUAUACAGUAUGCAAACCGACUUACAAACAGUGUUGUCAGAUUGUUAGUUGUGCUGUAACGAUACAACCCAAAUUAUAGGUCCACUUUUAGAUUGUGAAAUUAACAACAAACAGCAGCAUAUUUGAAUCAUGUCUCUCUCUCUCUCUCUCUCCUCUCUUUCUCCCUCCUCCCCAUCUCUCUUUCCCAGUAAGCGGUUCAUUUGACAGUCCAGUGUUCUCCUGAGCCUUGCCUUGUGUCACAUGACCAGCCAUGUGUCAGAUAAUGUAUGUCAUGGUAAUGCUGCAGGAGAAAUAUGCUUUUAUCUCAUCUCUGCCAGCAAGACCUCUGCUCUGACAUAUCAGCCUCUCCCCAUCCAUUUCCAUCGAAUGCUUCCUCGCAGCAUCUCCAGAUUUCUCUGAUUAUAAGGAGGGGAUGUGAUAUCCAACCACCCCCUCUUCUCUGUCACCAGAGGGAUAAGAUGAAGCACGGUUGUACGGAGCAAUGCAUCUAACAUAUUCCAUUUUCAGCAAAGAGUAUUUCUCUCAACGAACAUGCCAUUCCCUGCUCAGUGAUGAUGGGCCUGGUGCCAAUCAUGGCCUAUUUAUUGGGCUCCCGGGUGGCGCAGCGGUCACUGCAGACCCUGGUUCGAUCCCGGGCUGUAUCACAACCGGCCGUCCCAUAGAGCGGUGCACAAUUGGCCCAGCAUCAUCCGGGUUAGUGGACCGUGGUAGGCCGUCAUUGUAAAUUAGAAUUUGUUCUUAACUGACUUGCCUAGUUAAAUAAAGGUAAGAGAAAAAAAAUAUAUGUUGUCGGCAUAAUAACCCUGUCGUUGACAUAGUUUGUGAGGCCAGCACAUGGGAGCGAGGAGUAGCUUCCUGAUUAUAUGCACAUUUAAUAGGUCUACCAUUUAAUAGGUCUACCAUUUAAUAGGUCUACCAUUUGGUAUCUGUAUUCAGUAAAAUAACACAUAUUCUAGGACGGCAUGGUCGUACAUAAAUAGUAAUGGUAGAUAAAAAUAUAUUAUACAUUAUCUUUUUAUACCACAUUUGUAAACUAUGACAUGACUCAUAAGGAUUUGUGUGAGAGAUCACAUUGUCAGGAUUCCUGAGACAUCCAGUGGCUUGUUGACAACAGCUAGCAGGGUGUUCCCUUC